rnacentral:lncRNA from 10 species
UGGUAGGGCCUGUGGUGAGGCACAGUGAGGUUGGGGAGGUCUUGUUGUGGGGGAUUGGAUCCGGGCCUGGGUGCAGGGACUUUAAAGUGCUGGAGUACACAGUCACAGUGCCGUGUCCUGUGCCGUGCCACCUGUAUUCGAAGACCAUUGUUUCCUUCUUUCCUUCCUUCCUUCCUUCCUUCCUUCCUUCCUUCCAUCCAUCCUUCCUUCCUUCCUUCUUUCAUGCAAACAUCCUCCAUGGGCCAGGACCAGAGGCAGAACUGGUCCAGGAGAGGGAGACCCAGCUGCAGCUUCCCCAGGAGCUCUGGCACCUCUUUCCUGCAAGUCUCUUCCUGGAAUGAGACCCGCCUGCUGGUGGACUCUCUGACCUGGAGCUGGCAGCCUGUGCCCUGGCUGCACCUCUCACACUGUGAGCUGUGGGCAGGGCUUUCUGCUGCCACGUCCCUUGCUGCCUCUCCACUUAAUUGAGCGAAUGCGCUUCUCUUUAUUUUUGGUUUGCAUUUGGUUUCUGCCACUUGUCACCAAGAUAUCAUCACUGUGCACCCAGUUCUAUGGCUCCCACGCCCUCUUGGCCUGAGUAUCCUCUCUGGAACCUGGGCUCCUGACACCUUAAAGUAGAGCUCGACGACACUAUGGGCCUGGGUCCAUCCUUGGAGUCUCUAGGCUGAAAGAGCAUGGAUCUGGACUACAGACCAGAGGGGCCCUGUAGCAGCUCGUCCGCAGCCUCUGCCAUCAGACAUCUGCCAGGUGGAGAAAGAUAGGGCCCAUCUCUUCCCUUGCUCUAGCAAAUGGCCAGCCGACGCCAGCACAGAACAAGCAGAAACCCCAGUGAAGACUCGAGUCCAUGUUUCCCCUGUGCUCCCUCUGCCUCCUGACCAACCUGGUACUUCUCCGUGUGGCCCUGCACAGCCUGCCCUGCCUCCUGUUUCCAGGGAUCUGUAUGAAAACUUCUUCCUCAUGACAGUCAUCUUCAUGUUUGUGUGUCUCAUCACACCUGAUGUUUCACUGGGCAAGUUCACUUUCACAGAGCUGCAGUCACUCCUAAGCCUGAGCCCACGUGACCACGAUUCUGCUUCGUCUCUGAUCACAGCUGCAGUUCCUGGCCAUGUGACUCUGGACAAAUCCCUUCUCCUCUCAGAGCCUCCAUUUCCUCAUCAGUAAGAUGGACAUAGAAACAGCAUAAGCAAUUGUAUUAUUUAAGGGAAUGCCAAAACAGAGAAACCUUGAGGUCUCAAUGACUUAACACAGUAGAAGUUGGUUUCUCAAUCAUGGAUGGUCUGGAAUGAACAUUGAUGAUUGUUGGCUGUGGGGGAAAGUGAGUGAGGGGCCUCUGCUCUCUCAGUCAUCCUGAGGUCAAGGUCGAUAGGCCUCCUCCAUCUCUAACCCACAGCUUCCCAGGUCCCCCCAGGGGGCCAGCAUUAAAAAUCUUGUGGAAGGAUCUGGAAGCAGCACGAGUCUUCUCUCUGUACAUCCUGCUGGCCAGACACAGUCAUACAAUACAACCUAGUGACAGGGAAGAUUGGGAGAUGCCAUUUGGCAGUAUGCCAGGAAGAGUAGUAAGCAGGUUUGAUGCUGAGCUUGCAGACUCUGCCACAAAAGUCAUUGUAUUAACAGUAGGAAAGGCCAUGAGGUCAGACCUCUUAAAAUGGGACCAACAUUUUCUAGUAUGUGUGAAAAAAAUGACUCUGCCUUAAAAAAUGAAAUGGAAAAUUCUGAGCACAAGUUUAUUCUGUCCUUUAUUUAAUACAUUUAGGUUAAAUUUAAAAUGUUGUAUUAGAACUCUUUCCCUUUUUAACGCGAAAUAAUCCAUUGUAAGGAGAUGCUGCAUUUUGUGUAUCCAUUCAUCUGUUGAGGGACACUGGCUUGUUUCCACUGUUGGCUACUGUGAGUAAUGCUGCUAUGAACAUUCUAUACAAGUCUCUGACUCCCUGUUUGCAGUUUCUUUGGGUAUAUACCUAGAAGUAGAAUUGGUGGAUCAUAUGGUAACUUCAGGCGUAGCUUUUUGAGGAACUGCCAACUGUUUUCUAUAAUGGCUGCACUAUUUUACGUUUCUACCAGGAAUGUUUGAGGAUUACAAUUUCUCCACAUCCUUGACAAUGUUUAUUUUCUGUUUUUUGUAUUUUUUUUAAAUAGCCAUCCUAG